rnacentral:rRNA from 1 species
GAUGAACGUUGGCGGCAUGCUUAACACAUGCAAGUCGAACGAGAUCUUCGGAUCUAGUGGCGAACGGGUGCGUAACACGUGGGUGACCUGCCUCAAAGUGGGGGAUAACCCUUGGAAACGAGGGCUAAUACCGCAUGGUCGGACUUCAUUUAGAAAGAAGUUCGUAAAACUGAGGUGCUUUGAGAGGGGCCUGCGGCCUAUCAGGUAGUUGGUGGGGUAAUGGCCUACCAAGCCGACGACGGGUAGCUGACCUGAGAGGGUGGUCAGCCACAGGGGAACUGAGACACGGUCCCCACUCCUACGGGAGGCAGCAGUGAGGAAUAUUGCACAAUGGGGGAAACCCUGAUGCAGCAAUGCCGCGUGCAGGAUGACGCCCUUCGGGGUGUAAACUGCUUUUGUGUGGGAGGAGAAAGGACCGUACCACACGAAUAAGUCACGGCUAACUACGUGCCAGCAGCCGCGGUAAU